rnacentral:rRNA from 1 species
CGGCCGCGUCGACAAAUACUUAGUGGCGGACGGGUGAGUAACGCGUGAGAAUCUGCCUUCAGGACGGAGACAACAGUUGGAAACGACUGCUAAUACCGCAUAAGCCCACGGUACCGCAUGGUACAGAGGGAAAAGGAGCAAUUCGCUUUGGGAUGGACUCGCGUCCGAUUAGCUAGAUGGUGAGGUAACGGCCCACCAUGGCGACGAUCGGUAGCCGGACUGAGAGGUUGAUCGGCACAUUGGGACUGAGACACGGCCCAGACGUCCUACGGGAGCAGCAGUGGGGAAUAUUGCACAAUGGGGGAAGCCCUGGAUGCAGCGACGCCGCGUGGAGGAAGAAGGCCUUCGGGUUGUAAACUCCUGGUCGUAAGGACGGAUAGUGACGGUACCUUACAGAAAGCCACGGCUAACUACGUGCCAGCAGCCGCGGUAAUACGGUAGUCCCGAGCGUGUCGGAUUAUUGGUCGUAAGCGAGCGCAGGCGUUAGAUAAGUCGUGAAGUUAAGGCGUAGUGGCUUAACGACUAGUACGCGUUGGUAAACUGUUAACUUGUAG